rnacentral:rRNA from 1 species
UGCAAGUCGAACGGAAGUCGUUAUAAAAAGGAUUGAAGAUUCAUCUGAUUGAGAUUUUAUAACAAUGGCUUUAGUGGCGGACUGGUGAGUAACGCGUGAGCAACCUGCCUACUAGAGGGGAAUAACAGUGAGAAAUCAUUGCUAAUACCGCAUAUGCCAUGAACAUCACAUGAUGAAAAUGGGAAAAGAGUAAUCUGCUAGUAGAUGGGCUCGCGUCUGAUUAGAUAGUUGGCGGGGUAACGGCCUACCAAGUCGACGAUCAGUAGCCGGACUGAGAGGUUGAACGGCCACAUUGGGACUGAGAUACGGCCCAGACUCCUACGGGAGGCAGCAGUCGGGAAUAUUGCGCAAUGGAGGAAACUCUGACGCAGUGACGCCGCGUAUAGGAAGAAGGUUUUCGGAUUGUAAACUAUUGUCGUUAGGGAAGAUACAAGACAGUACCUAAGGAGGAAGCUCCGGCUAACUACGUGCCAGCAGCCGCGGUAAUACGUAGGGAGCAAGCGUUAUCCGGAUUUAUUGGGUGUAAAGGGUGCGUAGACGGGACAACAAGUUAGUUGUGAAAUCCCUCGGCUUAACUGAGGAACUGCAACUAAAACUAUUGUUCUUGAGUGUUGGAGAGGAAAGUGGAAUUCCUAGUGUAGCGGUGAAAUGCGUAGAUAUUAGGAGGAACACCGGUGGCGAAGGCGACUUUCUGGACAAUAACUGACGUUGAGGCACGAAAGUGUGGGGAGCAAACAGGAUUAGAUACCCUGGUAGUCCACACCGUAAACGAUGGAUACUAGGUGUAGGAAAUGAUUUCAUUUU